rnacentral:lncRNA from 1 species
UACAGGGUUUCUAGGACAUUACAAGGAAUAUUUUAUGCGGAUCGAAAGAAACACAUGGACGUGAAAACUUCUGGUCCUAUAUUCAACUUUCAAGAGGAUCUGCUCUUUAUGAACGAUGAUUCCAGCUGUGCAGUGGUUAUGGUCACGACGAAUAUUUGUGGCAAACGUCACAAGUAUGACCUGAGAAUUAGAAAUACGUUCAUCACAAAGACCCCGCACAAGAAUUGUCUGAAAGCAUUCGAGAAGUACGAGAAACACGCACAAGUUAUCUACGACCCAAGCUGCCAGCAUAUACUUGCGAAACUUGGA